rnacentral:rRNA from 1 species
GCUCAGGAUGAACGCUGGCGGCGUGCCUAACACAUGCAAGUCGAGCGAAGCGAUUUAGCGGAAGUUUUCGGAUGGAAGUUAAAUUGACUGAGCGGCGGACGGGUGAGUAACGCGUGGGUAACCUGCCUCAUACAGGGGGAUAACAGUUAGAAAUGACUGCUAAUACCGCAUAAGCGCACAGCAUCGCAUGAUGCAGUGUGAAAAACUCCGGUGGUAUGAGAUGGACCCGCGUCUGAUUAGCUAGUUGGUGAGGUAAAGGCCCACCAAGGCGACGAUCAGUAGCCGACCUGAGAGGGUGAUCGGCCACAUUGGGACUGAGACACGGCCCAAACUCCUACGGGAGGCAGCAGUA